rnacentral:rRNA from 1 species
AUUGAACGCUGGCGGCAGGCCUAACACAUGCAAGUCGAAUGGUAACAGGAAACAGCUUGCUGUUUCGCUGACGAGUGGCGGACGGGUGAGUAAUGUCUGGGAAACUGCCUGAUGGAGGGGGAUAACUACUGGAAACGGUAGCUAAUACCGCAUAACGUCGCAAGACCAAAGAGGGUGACCUUCUGGCCUCUUGCCAUCAGAUGUGCCCAGAUGGGAUUAGCUAGUAGGUGGGGUAACGGCUCACCUAGGCGACGAUCCCUAGCUGGUCUGAGAGGACGACCAGCCACACGGGAACUGAGACACGGUCCAGACUCCUACGGGAGGCAGCAGUGGGGAAUAUUGCACAAUGGGCGCAAGCCUGAUGCAGCCAUGCCGCGUGUAUGAAGAAGGCCUUCGGGUUGUAAAGUACUUUCAGCGGGGAGGAAGGGAGUAAAGUUAAUACCUUUGCUCAUUGACGUUACCCGCAGAAGAAGCACCGGCUAACUCCGUG